CAAAUACAGUUCCAGUGAGGACAGGCAGAGGCUAUGACUCAGAGCUCGCUGGAGCGGGGGUCGGCCGCCAUCUCUUGGUUUGGCAGAGGCUCCAGGCAGGCAGGGCGAUGGGAGAGGUUUCUCGUGAAAAGGGAAGGCUCCACGGGUGCAGACUGGAGGCUGCUGGCCAGCGGCCACCUUUCCUCCCUGCUCCGUUGGGACAGACUGGAUCUGUGGGUUUCCCGGGAGGGUGGCUGUGGGUUUUCUGGGAGGGUGGCUCGGGGCUGGAACCUGCUCAGGCUGGGUGGUGGAGUUCUGUCAGACCCUCCCCAGGCCCACCUCCCCUUCUCCCUCUCUUCUCCUUUUUCCCCUCCAAGCAAACCACCAGGGCUGGCCUGCCCCUGACCCCAGGCACCUGGCAGGUGGGGCUGGUCUGCUCUGGAGCUGCAGAGGUGAUGGGCGGAGGCUCUGGCCUCCUCCCACCCUGAGCCUUCUGCCCUCCCUCCUUCCCCAGAGCUGGGCAUUGCUCCACAAGGCGCUGUGCUAGGGGCAUUUGUCCCCCUCCUCAAGUCUGUGCCAUCGCCUCCCCACCACCCUCCAGGGCUGGGAGUGUGGGGGGGACUUCAGGGCCAGUAGGGUCCUCUGGGCUCCCCAGGCUAUUGUCUCCCUGGUGACAGGGACAACGAGCAUCCUCCAUUCUAGGACAGCCUGUAUCUGAAAGCACCCCCAACCCGCCGUCCUCCCCACGGCUUCCCCUUGGUUGGCAUUGAUCUGGACACCAGCUGGUUUCACCACAGUGACCUUGUCCCACCCCACCCAGCUGCCUCAUCUCUCUGUCACCCUAGCCUGACAGUGUCACCCAUCCUUGGGCUGGGGGACAGGUGGGGCAAAAUGGCACCUGCCUCCUACCCUCGCUGCUGGUGUAGGAAUGGAUGGUUAUGGGCGCUGGCUGGUGGUGGUCGCCGCAUCCUUCAAUUUAUUUCUCUGCUCUUUCUGUUCUUGAGAAAUCAGGGAGGGAGGUGUAAUGCUGCCCCUAUUCACCACCACCAACAUCCCCCCAGCUCUGCUGUCAGUCCAGGCGCAGCAGCAGGUUGAGCCCUUGAGUCCCACAAGGGAGCCUCAGUAAGAUAGCACUCCUGCCCGACACCCUGACCCAGGCUCCCACUGCUACCAAGGACUCUCUCUCCUUCCACUCCCUAUUCCUUCCCUGUGGAACAGCCUGGAUGCCCUGAGGCAUCCAGGAGAGCAUGGCUUUAUUCCCAAAGAGGGUGGGGGCCAGGGCACCCCAGCAAGUGGUCCCUCACCACCCAGCAUCCCCUCUUGCACUUAGUCUUUCAUAGGGACCAAACACAUAGUAAAAAGAAUGUUUGGGAGGGGAGCCUUUAGACCUCUAUAAAGACUUUUAAUCUGAGAGGAAGGGGGAGACACUGGAGAGUUUUCACAGAGAACUGACGUAAGCUGACUUAUGCUUUAACGGGAUCCCUAAUUGAUAAAGUGUUUAGGGGAACAAGGGCAGAAGUAGGUAGACAACAGGAAAUAUUGCCGUAACCCAGGGGAGUGGUGAUGGUAGAUUGGACCAGGGUCAUGGAAGCAAAGGUGGGAAGAGGAGUGUGUCCCUGUGGCUGGCAGCUUGUACCUGCUGAAUUAGCAGUCAGCUGGCCUGACUUCUGAUGGACCUCCAGCAGGGCUCUCUCUGCCUCUCAGGCUCAGUAUGGUCUUCCAUCCUCUUCUCCCAAUCUCUUCUCCCAGCUGAUAUCAGAAGAUUCAAGCAGCAGAGGCCAAAGGGAGUAAUAUAAGAUGUAAGUUACUAAGCAUGGAACUAAAGGAGAGAUGAGACAGAGGAAGAGAAAGGCCACGCAUUCAUGAGUCUUAGUUGCAAGCAACAGAAUCCAACUCAGGUUGAUUUCAACAAGAAAGGAAUUUAUGAUAAUGAUACUGGGUAGAUCACAAAAUUGACAAUAUGGAUGGUGAGCCAGCGUCUGUGAAACACAGGAUCAAUGCCCACUACGACAUGGCACAACUCAUCAAGUGUGGACAUCCCUACCACCACUGGCAAGGAGAAGACUCUACGGCUUGUACUAAUUUCUCUAGCAAUGGACACUGUGUACCACCGCUGGCCUUGCUCUCUCUACUGCCCUCAGAACUCAAUCUGAGUGGAGGCCCCCAGUCCCUAUUUUUUUUAGUCACUGCUUCCUGACUCCAAAUCAAAUAAGUCACUUGACCAGGCCCUACCUGCAAGGGAGUCUAGGAAAGCAAGAGUUUGGCAUUUUUAUCUCCCAUUGGGUGAGGCAGCCUCUGCAUCCCACUAUUAGGUUAGGAAAAUACCAAACAUACAAGGGAUUUCAGAUGCUAAGCAGACCAAAAUAUUAAAUGUCCAUAAGAAAAAGUAUAUCCGUGGGGAUCAGUGAAUGUACUAUGAUUAUAAAAUUACCGGACUGAUUCCCUUCUGUGGAUCUAAUCCACACUACCAGAAGGAAAAUCCAAAAGGAAAAUUAUAAAAAUGUCCCAUCUUUUAUUAAGUGAUUUACCCUCCUGAGAAAACUACUUUAAAUGGUUAACAUUCAUUUGGAUAUUUGUUUGACUAUUAUUAAGAAUAACAUGAUAAAAUUUUUAUUUAAAAAAUGUUUGCAUGGCCUAGAUAUAUCUAUGUACACAUAUAGAUAUAUAAAUAUAAAUAUCCAUAUAGAGAGAGAGAGAGAGACAGAGAGAAAAUACUAGAACACUGACAAUAUCUUUUAAUAGCCACCUUGAUCCAGCUGUAACUAGAGCUGAAUAAACUCUUAGAAUUCCCAGGUAUUCAAAAAAAUAAAUUACCUUUUGGGUUUCAGUUAGUUUGAGGUGAGUUUCUGUUACUUGUACCCAAGAGAUUCUAGAACACGAAAUAUAUGUAUUUAAAUAUUAUUGGCAGUUAACAUUUGUUAUUAGUUUGGCCUACAGACAUAAAUGGUCUUAUAUGAGAAAACUUUAAGUAAUAUCAUAAGUAAAUGGAGUAAUAAAAGGUGAAAUGUUAUAGAUUUAUUUUUAUAACCCUCAUAUCUAGAGCUAUGACAAAUUUUAUAUUUUAAAUUUUUCCAUAGUUUUUAAAGUUUAGUUUUUCCUAAUGUGUAGGUGGGACAUAGGCAUGUUUAACAAAAAGAAGAAAGAGGUCCUGCAGUAUUUUGAAAAAUUGUUUUUAAGUUCCAAGCAAGACAGGUUCUAUUUUUUCCUGGAAAGGAACUUGUUUUGACAUAGAUUUAAUGUCAGUGGGUGAAAGAAAUAAUAGAUUUUAAAACUUAAGCUAUUUAUAACAUGUGAGAAAAUGAGUAAGGAAGAUUAAAUUUGUGAUUUAAAUAAAUAUAUAGUAAUCGCAUAAAAUUAGGCUCAACUAAGCAUCUGAAUCUAGCACUGAUGCCCUCUUAUCCUCAAUACACACAGGCGCACACACGCAUUAAACAGGUACUUUGCUCAAGGGUUCUAGACACAGAUUAGACUUAAAUAGUGCAUUAAAAUGUGUUUAAGAAUUUUAUGGGGUAAUUCUCGCCAAUCAUCAAAAAAUGAACACGGACAUUUGCCUCCCCUCCUUCCUAUGACUCCACUAAAAUAAUAGUAACUGGAUUAGGUUGAAAGGUCAAACCCCAAGGAUAAAUAGAAGUGGCAAGGAGACAACAGCACAAUUUUGGAAGCAAGAAUGCGGAUGUAUGAGCAGUAACUUUCUAGCAAACACGAGAAAGCCAAAACCUAAGCCGGCGGUGGCGGAAGUAUAAGCAAGCUCGUUGCUGCCGCAGGUGAAAGGGAGGCGUCAGGGGCCCUGUGGGAAACUCAGGGGAGUCGCUGGAAGUCUGAGUACAGAUGUUAGAGGCGCCUUCCCCUCCCCACGGCCGGCCGAAGACCAGAGGUUUACUCUCUGGAGAUGUUAAUUCAACAGAGCUCUGGACUUUAGGGCCCUGGUCUCCCCUGUGGGUGGAGAGGCUGUGCUGAAAACGUGAACCAGUGAGAGUCCUCACACCAAACACUGACCCUCUGGCCUCCUUGUCCACUAGGCCCCCCGAAUAUUGGGGGUUAAUUUAGGGUGCAGCUUUCAGGCUACCUUACUUUCUUCUUUCUGUUUAUAUGUUUUUUAAUUCUUUACAGUGCACAUGUAUUAUGCAUGUAGUUCAACAAAAUUUAAGGGAGGUAUAAUACAUUGUGAAAUAAACGCUGAAAAUUGAUAUGAUAAAAUAUAUAUUUCUGGAUUAGGGAGAUAGGAGAAGGGGAUAUGUGCCUCGUUGUAAGAGAGCCAACUCCUCAUCUUCCAGAGUAGAAAGGAAGCAAAAAAGAAACAAAUUGAAAAAUUAAGAAAGAGUAUUAGAGACAUGUUAUAGAAAUGUGAAGGUAAAUAAUAGAAGAAACAGUUAAAAGAGAUGGAAAAUUGUUGCCUUUGGAGAGUGAGAACCAGUGGUGGUGAAGAUUGGAACAGGGUGCUGACUUGCAUUUUAUGACGUAUAACUUUGUGGCUUCAUGCAGGAGAACAUAUGUGACUUGAAUGAAAUUUAAAGGAACUAUAAGCAUUGCGGAGUGUUAAUAUACUUACACAAAGAAUCUUCCAUUUUUCUAAGCAUUUAUGUAUUAAAUUUGCAAAAGUUUGAGAAGUACAAAAAUGACUGAAUUUCAUGUUAGAACACUUAGAAGCCAUGAAAGACAUGCUCAUGGGACAGUGAAGAGAUUGAGUGGACUGUAGGGCCAAAGUGAGAUUCUUACAUGAUGGAGAUGAACAGAAAUACGUCAGAAAGAGAAGGACUGAAAAUGAGGAAAUUGAGAAAUGCUAAAUCUAAUCAAACAGAAAUGCCAGGAACAGUCAACAUGUUAUAGACGGUGUGGAAGAAUAUAAAAUAGGUCAUAAGUAUGAGUUCUCCAUGAUAAGACACUGACGGAAGAGCUAAACAAUAGAGUUAACAACUAUUAUGGCCUGUCAAAAUGGCAUAUGUUAGGUAAAAUAUGAGUGUAUAAAAAACCUGGAGGAUAUUUGAAAAUCUAUUCCUAGAAAACUACCUCCCAAAAAAUUCAGAAUGGAUUCUUUUAAAUCUGUAACAACUUUCCAGUGACAACAUGUCCGUACUACAAUGCCAUACACUCACCCAUGGAUGGUUGAGCUGUGCGAUUUUAAAAACGAAAACAAGAAAAUGGAAAAGAUACUCUUCACCAAAACAAAAGCAAAUGAAAUGGCUCUUCUCUCAGACGUGAAUCAAAAACUUAGUUAUGUAUAAGAAAGAGUGUUUAAAGAAGACCAUGCCACUUUACUGAAGUAGGGAAAGAAAAUUCUACUGACCGUAGCAUAUUGAAGAACACAAAAAUCCAGGAAAAACGGAGAAGAGGUAUGAUGAACGUAUCAGUGAGCAGUGAGGCACAAGCCAAAGUUUUUAAGGUCACCCUGCCUGUGGUACUCAAGGUAAAUUUGGACUUCACGGGGACUGGCAUGAGUUUAGAGGCCCAGGAGACCCUCAAAUGCUGCCCAAAAUACUAAAAGAAUCGUUUUACCUAAUAAACUUUAUAAGCCAGAUAAUGAAAGACAGUUACUCAUGUACCUACUUUCUCAGACCACACCCUCAUAUUUGACAUCUGAGUACUGGAUAAAGAUAAGAGCUAUCAUUUAUUGUGUGUUUCCUGUGGGGCAACCACAUGUAUUAGGUCCUUUACUAAUUCGACAAAUAUUUACUGAAUGUCUUCCAGGUGCCAGGCACCAGGGCUGUAGCUGUGAACAUGACAGACGUUAUACCUACCUUCCCAGAGUUUACGGUCUAAUAACAUAUAGGAUUAGACCUUACACAAGGAUGGGAGGAGUUGGGGAAGGAAAGAAAGUCCAGACUCAGGAGAUAGAAGGUAGAGGAGCAGAGAAAAGCCACAGUUAGCUCUCCUAAAGUAGUCAUCUGAGGGCAACACAGAACCUGCAGGGAAAUGGGAGGAAGAGUUCAUCUAGCUGUAAGAAUGGGACUCAGAUGGAAGGUUCUUGCCUCUGCAUCUGACCCUUGACUUAGGGUUGCUGUUGGUCAGCAGUGCAGGCCGGGAGGAAAAAGAGCUGUGGUAAAAUGAAGAGAGCAAGGACAAACUAGAACCCACUAGGACCUACAUCUGUCCCUCCCUGCACUAACCACUGCCUACAGGGAAUAAUGGCUGCUACUUCACCCUCACCUUCCAGAUCUUGCACAGGUGGUGUUUAAAGGUCUGAGGUGGGCUGAGAUCCCCAAGUGAGUGAGCAAGCCAGGAGAAGACUGAGAACCAACGAUGGGACAGGAAGAGGACAGGCAAGAAGAGGAGGGGCCAGCAAGCCAGCCAAGAAGUGACCACUGAGGGAGGCAGAACACCAGGAGAGCAUAGCCUCAGAUGGUGACAAUGGUGAGAAGUCAACAGGAAAGCCUAGAUUUCCACAAGGAAGGGAAAAAACAGUUAUGAGAGAAAAGAGUGAGAGAAGACGGAAAGAGAGAAAUGAAUUUGGGUUUGGAAGAAUAUUUAGAGUUGGGAGUUGAGAGAAAAGAGCUUCUGGAUGCAACUUCUGUUCAUGAGGAAUAUUUUGAGAGGGACAAUGAUUGGACAAAUACUUUAAGUUCUGCUGUCCAUUAGGAAUGUUGUUUGCCACCUCAUUAGACUGAGUAAAAAUUUUGUUUAAUUACUCAUUUGUUGUUGAUAACAGAUUUCUUUAAAAUCAUUCCCAUAUAUAACCUGUGCACUAAACAAUUAAGAAGCACAAGAUUACUUUGUUAUGUUUAGGUUAUAAUUAUAGAUUUUUUUUAAUCCUAAGUACCAUUAUUCUGUGAGUCUGUAAUUUAUAUUAAAUACAUUGGCAUUGACCACCUGCUGGUUCCAAGCUAUACUCCUGGAGUGAUCCAUCACACUAGGGAGAACACCGCUCCACAGGUGGUAGCUAGUGUUUGAAACACUGUGAUGGAAAGUCACACCUCAGAGCGCUCCUCCAACAGUAUCGACUACCUUUAUCAACUCCAGGUAGUGGUAAUGAGCUGCGGUUUUUCACUA